UCAAACUCAUGGUGAUCCUCCUGCCCCAGCCUCCUGAGUGCUGGGAUUACAGGCGUGUACCACCACACCCAGCGAUGCAUCAUUUCUUAAGACUGAAUGUGAAUCUGCAGUAUGUCAAAAUUUCUGUUACCAAAAAAAUCAUCAGAUAUUUGCCAGGUGUGUGGGCACCUGGGAAGGGGUGACAGCAGAUAGGCGGAGCAAUCUCCGAGGACUUAGACGGGACAUGGUACCGUGACAAACCUCGAGGCUGCUAACGGAGGAGGCCAGCUAGAGUGUAGUAGAUGGACCCGGCUCCUCCCUGCUCUGUCAUUUAAGAGGACCAGGGCCCAUAGUCCCACCUUCCCACUUUCUGGAAGCCUUAAAGAGAAAAGGGAUCCAUGGUGUCAGAAGCACCCUGUUCUUGGUGACCCCAAAACUGCAGCUUCGUCGGGUGCUGGAUGACCUUUGCACCUUUGCCAGCUGCCUGUCACUUCGCGCGUCCACAAGAUUCGGUCGAGGUUGGCGCAGAAUUGUGAAGUUGCUUGAUCGGUGGAGCCCCUGGCUGUGGCCUUGCAGGCACAGGCCCUGACAUCUGGUUCCCAGCGCCAGCAGCAGACAAAGGACCACAAGUCCCACUGAGGAGCGGGGAGCAGGUGGCAGGCGGAGCCCCCUACAGGGAACAGACCAGUGGGGGCCACUCUGAGCCCGGAGCCACCUGAGCAGCGGCUGACGCUGGGAUACAGAAGUCAGCUGGGCACACGGAGGAGAGUCCUCAGACCAUGGGCCCAGCUCCAUCCCACUUCCGACGGGCAGAGUCUGCACUCUGGCUUCCUGUGGGCCACAGACAGCACUGCAGUCCUACUGUGCUGAGAUCAGGUCGAAGCCAACACGCGCCUUUGACAUUUGCCACGCCCUGAGUUUGCGACUGAGGGAAAAUACAACAAAUACUAUCUGAUCUGAGUCACUGAAGAAGCUAGAAGACAGCAGCACCAAGCAAGACAUACAGAAAUAAAUGACAGAAGGAGUUGAAAUGCCCACUGGGUCAGCUUGGUUCCCCCGGAAGCAGCAGUGGAGAAGGACUGGCAAGAACUGACAGCUGGAGAGAUUCUUUUGGGAAGUGGCUCCAUAUAACGGGGGUGGAAAAAGGGGUCAGGAGCAGAAAGCAUGUGGCAGAGGGAGAGGGAGAGAGAGAGAAAGAGAGACAGAAAAAAGAAAGAGAGAGAGUGCACAAACCCUUGGAGAGCUGGGGCUCCGCUCCUCUGGGGAACCAGGUAGAAGGCUGUGGUCCUGUCUCCUGCGUCAGGAUCCUGUCUCCCAUUGGUCAAGUGGAUGCAGAACAAAUUCAGUCAACUAGGAUGUGACUCAGAGCAGACAUAACAGAUUCCUGACUCACCAGUGAGAAAGCAUCCUGUAGCCCAGGAUUUUUCAUUGUUUAUUCAUUGCUGCAUUUCCAGCACCAAAAACAGUGCCUGGUCCAUAGAAGGUGCCCAGUCAGCAGACCUAAACUAAAAUACUAGUUUAGGUCAAAUAUAAAAGGUAGGUGCACCCAGGUGGGGUGCCGCCAGCCUGUGGUUCCAGUGCUUGGGAGGCUGAGGCAGGAGGAUCACUUGAAUCCAGCAGCUCAAGAGCAGCUUGGGCAACAUAGUGAGACCCUGUCUUUAAAAAGAAAAAGUAAGGAGGUGCCUAAGUUAUUCUUUAGCAGUACUUUGCAAGUGCGUGCCUGCUUGCAGCGGAUGUGGGGUGGGGCCAGGCAGAUAGACUAGAGAACAAAACAGAUGCAUUUCUGCCCGGAUCUUCUGGUCCAGGAGAGAAGUCCGACGGGGAUACACACAGGCUCAGUGAGCUCAUGGGGAGCACCCUAAGGAUAAGGACAUGGGCAUCAGAAGUGAUAAUUGGCCAGGGAGCUGUCUGAGGAGAUCACACUCACAUGGAGACCCAGGGAGGGACAGGGCCAGCAUGGGGGCGGGUGGAGGGAGAGGCCCAGGGGAGAGAGGGAGGGGCAAGGCAGCCCUGGGCCACCACCCGGGUUUUAGGGAAUGUGGGUUUCAGGUAUGGAGUAACAGGGUCAAAUCCACAUUUCUAAGCCCUCCUCUCACCGCUUUGUGCAGGACCAGCUGGAGCUGAUGCUCACUGACAGCAGAGGUGGCAGAGGCUGGGAGGAAGACCAGCCCGGUGCCGGCGCCCCACUGCUACUGUGUCACCUGAAAGCUGCCACAUGCUCCCCCCACCUCACGGCUACUAGAGUGGAGGGCAGGCGACUGAAGGUUCAUCAGAUCCGUAGUUCUCAGAACACCUUACUCUUGCUCUGUGGGGACAGAGAGGGGAAAUGUUUUCCCUCACUUAAUAGAGGUGUAAGGAACCCAGUGAUGAUUACAAGGACAGCCUCAGGACGUGGUGGCAGGGUGCCCACCUCCACCCACCCUGCACACGGAGGGGCAUGCCCAGAAGAGCUCGCCCCUUCCCAAAAGCGAGCAGAGGUCACCUGACAGCCAUGGCGCAAUACUGGGAAAAGAGUGUCUGGGUUUAAUCUGACGUUUAUGGGGCACGUGCCUGCACCAAGUCCCAUAUGACAUCACCCUGGAUCCUCCCACGGCCACGUGGGGAGCUGUUCCAGUCCACAGCUGACAGAUAAGUAGAGGGGAUUAGCUUACACAGAGUCCCAUGCUGUGGACAAACCCCACGGCCCACGCAGCUCCUCCCUUCUGCCUCGCCGCCUCCGGGAAGGGAGCAGAACGGAGCUGGAGGGAGAGUCUGGGGUUAGGACAUGAAGCCUUGUGUUUACAAUGAGGACCAGUUGCCCAUGGGCGCCUUAGGAAUUAGAAAAAUAUUUGUAACACUCCUUAGAAUUAGAACAAGAUAUUAAUACCAGUUGCUUUUUUCUUUUUCUUUUUUCUUUUUUUGCAGUGCUGGGGAUGGAAUAGGGGUUACAAGCACGCUCAGUGAGCGCUCUGCCACUGGAGGGGACCCCAGCCCGGCCCUAUUGCCUUUUGGCAGCUGGUCUUGGUCUUGUGCCCCAGUCCAUCCACCUCCUUCAAAUGCACCGGACGCGUUCCCAGCCACGGAGGACAGCCAGGCCCUUCACCCUGCAGCCUGCUCACCCCCACCGCAGAUUGCCGAAGGAGCGAAGUGUCCCUGUUUCACAUUCUGGCAAAAUCAGCGGCAGAGAGCACGAAGAGCAGCAGGUGCCAGCUCCAGCUCCGGGCCCUCCAUGCCUGCAGGCUCCAGGCAAGACCCCGCCACGCCUGCAGCUCCUCCGCGGUCCGGUUCUGCACUCCCAACUUGUAACCAUCACCCCCUGGCUUCUGAGCUCACUCCUGCUGGUCUUCUGUCUCCACAGCCUGGUGCUUUCAGGGCCUGCAAUCCACUAAGCCUGCCGCUUUCCACUCCUCCCAUCCUCCUCAAACCCUCUCUGUUCUCUUUUGUUCUUUUUCAAUUUUCUAAAUUGCCCAGGCUUGGCUCAAACUUGUGAUCUUCCUGCCUCAGCUUCCCAGAGUGCAGCUUCCCAGAGUGCAGGUAUUACAGGCUACACCCAGCCUGUCUAGGCUCCAUGGUCAAUUGUGAUAAUCACUUUCUUGCACACUCCCUCCUUCCACACUCUCUUCCUCAGAGCUGCAAAACAGGCUGCACAGAAUCUACUUUCUGCCCCUCCUGCCCUGCAUAUGGGCACUGACUGUGGCCAGGCUGAGGAGUCUCGCUUUGAGGUGGGCUUCAACACUGCUCACAGCUCGUCCUUCUCCUGCCCACCCACUCUCGCAGCUCCAGGAUGACCACAGCAGUUACCCUUUCCCCCCAAGGUUCCAAGUCCGUCACAUCUCCACUCUCUGCCAUGGCCCUUUCUCUCAUCUCCAUGAGGAAAUGGAAGCAGCAAGAGAACCUCCGCGUUCUCCACCACUAUUGCUACUCUGCAGCCUGCACCUGGACCAAACCUCUGUGGACCAAUUGUCCCUGCUCCCACCAAAAGCCGGCUCGCCCCGUGUGAAUCAGGCCCCAUUCCUUGUAAACUGCUCCCUCGGGCUGACUGGUGGCCCCAAAGCGUCCUGCUGCCCGGAACCAUUUAUGUGACCUUGUUUGGAAGAAGACUUUGCAAAUGUAAUUAAGUUAACGAUCUUAGUUAAUGAGAUUAUCCUAGAUUAUCUGGGAUAAUGACAGUAGCCUAACAAGAGAAAGGCAGAAGGAAACUGAAGACAGGCAGAAGAGGAGAGACCCAGAGAAACAGGUGAUAUGAACACAGAGCAGAGAGAUGUGGCCACGGUCAAGGGAAGCCAGUGGUCACCAGAAGGCAAAGACGCAAGGAAUGGAUUUUUUUCCUCCACAGCUCCACAGCAGCCAAUGAUGGUGUAAAAUCUGAGUAAUGCAGAGGUGUGGCUCAGAGAGGAAUGUGUGUGAAGCCCUGGGCUCCACCCCCAGCACCCCCCCCCCCAGUGUGAGUAAUCUCCUGUCCCUCCUCUAUGCAAAACUCCAGGGGUUCAACAUUUCCCCCAGAUACAAGCAAGAUCCCAGAGGGAGAGCAUCUCUGCCAACACUUCAGUUGCAGGUUUCUGGCUUCCAGAAUUGUGAGAGAAUAAAUGCUGUGGUUUUAAGCCA